GAUGAAGAACGUAGCGAAAUGCGAUAAGUAAUGUGAAUUGCAGAAUUCAGUGAAUCAUCGAAUCUUUGAACGCACAUUGCGCCCUUUGGCAUUCCGAAGGGCACACCUGUCCGAGCGCCGUCGCACAACUGAGGCGCAGCCUUGCGUUGGCGGGCGACUUGUGAGUAGCGAGUCGCCGCCCAAACGAGACGGCGCCGCGCCGCGGCCGACGAAGCACGAAAGCGGAAGUCGACGCGGAGGCGGUUGCCUGUAGGAAGACACAGCUUGGCCUCGGAUCAGGUGGGGAUACCCGCUGAACUUAAGCAUAUCAUAAGCGGAGG
rnacentral:misc_RNA from 1 species